rnacentral:rRNA from 1 species
GACGAACGCUGGCGGCGUGCUUAACACAUGCAAGUCGAACGAUGACGGUGGUGCUUGCACCACCUGAUUAGUGGCGAACGGGUGAGUAACACGUGGGUAAUCUGCCCCUCACUUCGGGAUAACCUCGGGAAAUCGUGGCUAAUACCGGAUAUGAGCUCCUGCCGCAUGGUGGGGGUUGGAGAGCUUUAGCGGUGAGGGAUGGACUCGCGGCCUAUCAGUUUGUUGGUGAGGUAAUGGCUCACCAAGACGAUGACGGGUAGCCGGCCUGAGAGGGCGACCGGCCACACUGGGACUGAGACACGGCCCAGACUCCUACGGGAGGCAGCAGUGGGGAAUAUUGCACAAUGGGCGAAAGCCUGAUGCAGCGACGCCGCGUGGGGGAUGACGGCCUUCGGGUUGUAAACCCCUUUCAGUAGGGAAGAAGCGAAAGUGACGGUACCUGCAGAAGAAGCGCCGGCUAACUACGUGCCAGCAGCCGCGGUAACAC